rnacentral:rRNA from 1 species
GAUGAACGCUGGCGGCGUGCCUAAUACAUGCAAGUCGAGCGAACAGACGAGGAGCUUGCUCCUCUGACGUUAGCGGCGGACGGGUGAGUAACACGUGGAUAACCUACCUAUAAGACUGGGAUAACUUCGGGACACGGGAGCUAAUACCGGAUAAUAUAUUGAACCGCAUGGUUCAAUAGUGAAAGACGGUUUUGCUGGCACUUAUCGAUGGAUCCGCGCCGCAUUAGCUAGUUGGUAAGGUAACGGCUUACCAAGGCGACGAUGCGUAGCCGACCUGACAGGGGGAUCGGCACCAGUGGACCGGAGCACCGGUCCAGACUCCUACGGGAGGCACCAGUAGGGAAUCUGCCGCAAAGGGCGAAAGCCUGACGGAGCAACGCCGCGUGAGUGAUGAAGGUCUUCGGAUCGUAAAACCCUGUUAUUAGGGAAGAACAAAUGUGUAAGUAACUAUGCACGUCUUGACGGUACCUAAUCAGAAAGCCACGGCUAACUACGUG